CUGGGGCAGCCGCUGUCCCUGUCCUCCAGGAGCUCACUUGGUCCGGCCGUGCGCUCCUCGAGGCCAGAGCCCGUGUCUGCUUCCCGCCAGCACCA
rnacentral:pre_miRNA from 8 species